CUGCUAGGAUGACUUCUUAGGACACCUUUGGAUUCAACAUGAAAAUAACCAACAAAUAUCUGAGCCGC